AGAGAGUCAGCACAGAGCUGGAUGUCAGUUAAAGUAACUGUGUCAGGAGCUGACAGCUCUUCAUCUCCUGUGUGGUUGAUUGUUGGACUGGUUUGUGGAGUCUCUCUCAUUAUUAUUCUCCUGCUCUUGUUGUAUCGCUGCAGAAGAACCAACAGUGCUGCUAAUGAGCAGACGUUUAACCAACAUCAUCAGCAGCCAGUGUACUCCUCU